rnacentral:rRNA from 1 species
GAAUGCAUCUAGAUUGCUCAGUAACACGUGGAUAACCUGCCCUAAGGAAGGGGAUAACCUCGGGAAACUGAGGAUAAUACCCUAUAGGAUACCGAUGCUGGAAUGCCCGGUAUCCCAAAGCUCCGGCGCCUUAGGAUGGAUCUGCGGCCGAUUAGGUCGUUGUUGGGGUAACGGCCCAACAAGCCGAUAAUCGGUACGGGUUGUGGGAGCAAGAGCCCGGAGUUGGAUUCUGAGACACGAAUCCAGGCCCUACGGGGCGCAGCAGGCGCGAAAACUUUACAAUGCGGGCAACCGUGAUAAGGGAACCUCGAGUGCCUGUACAUGCAGGCUGUCUGGGUGUCUAAAACACACCCAAAGAAAGGGCCGGGCAAGACCGGUGCCAGCCGCCGCGGUAAUACCGGCGGCUCGAGUGGUGGCCACUUUUAUUGGGCUUAAAGCGUUCGUAGCUGGGUUGUUAAGUCUCUUGGGAAAUCUGGCAGCUUAACUGUCAGGCGUCUAAGAGAUACUGGCAAUCUAGGAACCGGGAGAGGUGAGGGGUACUUCGGGGGUAGGAGUGAAAUCCUGUAAUCCUCGAGGGACCACCUGUGGCGAAGGCGCCUCACCAGAACGGCUUCGACAGUGAGGGACGAAAGCUGGGGGAGCAAACCGGAUUAGAUACCCGGGUAGUCCCAGCCGUAAACGAUGCGCGUUAGGUGUGUCGAUGACCACGAGUCAUCGAGGUGCCGAAGGGAAACCGUGAAACGCGCCGCCUGGAAGUACGGUCGCAAGGCUGAAACUUAAAGGAAUUGGCGGGGGAGCACCACAACAGGUGGAGCCU